CCCAGCCUCGUUUUCGCGAAUGCGCAUACAAUGAAACGCAACAUAGGUAGCAUCCUCCUGCCUCAUCCACUUUUUCUGGGCAUUAAGUAUCCUCAACAAAGUUCCCGCCUUGUGCGCCGGCAAUUGUUUACACAGCCAGGCCAAUCUCGCCCGCCUCCAUUGCUCCGGCAACUCUUCCAACUCCCUCACCACAAUCGCUGGCGAAUUCAUGUGCUUCAUAUCUCCACCGGAGCCCAAAUAUCCCGGGUCGCCGUCGAAUUUCAAAAUGUCAUUUUCGUUCUCGCUGUAGCUUGAGAAGUCCCCUUUCUCUUCC
rnacentral:misc_RNA from 1 species